rnacentral:rRNA from 1 species
GCCCUGCUUGCAGGGUGGAUUAGUGGCGAACGGGUGAGUAACACGUGAGUAACCUGCCCCUGACUCUGGGAUAAGCCCGGGAAACUGGGUCUAAUACCGGAUAUGACUUCCUACUGCAUGGUGGGUUGUUGAAAGAUUUAUCGGUGGGGGAUGGACUCGCGGCCUAUCAGCUUGUUGGUGAGGUAAUGGCUCACCAAGGCGACGACGGGUAGCCGGCCUGAGAGGGUGACCGGCCACACUGGGACUGAGACACGGCCCAGACUCCUACGGGAGGCAGCAGUGGGGAAUAUUGCACAAUGGGCGGAAGCCUGAUGCAGCGACGCCGCGUGAGGGAUGACGGCCUUCGGGUUGUAAACCUCUUUCAGUAGGGAAGAAGCGAAAGUGACGGUACCUGCAGAAGAAGCGCCGGCUAACUACGUGCCAGCAGCCGCGGUAAUACGUAGGGCGCAAGCGUUAUCCGGAUUUAUUGGGCGUAAAGAGCUCGUAGGCGGUUUGUCGCGUCUGCCGUGAAAGUCCGAGGCUCAACCUCGGAUCUGCGGUGGGUACGGGCAGACUAGAGUGAUGUAGGGGAGACUGGAAUUCCUGGUGUAGCGGUGAAAUGCGCAGAUAUCAGGAGGAACACCGAUGGCGAAGGCAGGUCUCUGGGCAUUUACUGACGCUGAGGAGCGAAAGCAUGGGGAGCGAACAGGAUUAGAUACCCUGGUAGUCCAUGCCGUAAACGUUGGGCACUAGGUGUGGGGGACAUUCCACGUUUUCCGCGCCGUAGCUAACGCAUUAAGUGCCCCGCCUGGGGAGUACGGCCGCAAGGCUAAAACUCAAAGGAAUUGACGGGGGCCCGCACAAGCGGCGGAGCAUGCGGAUUAAUUCGAUGCAACGCGAAGAACCUUACCAAGGCUUGACAUGUGCCA